GGUUUGUCUGCCAGGAUAACCUGCGCGUACUAAUACUGCAAGUCGAGGGCAGAUAAGAGCCUGCUCCUUUGAGUUAUCGGGACGGGUGAGUAACGCGUAGUAACUACCAUAGCCUGUAAUAACUCGGACCAUAAUAGCGAAUGCAUAUACAUCGCAUGUUUAUAGUAAAUGGUGAUCACUAUAUAUGGUGACCCGGUUUAGCUAGGGUAAGGUCAUGCUUGACAAGACAACAAAGCGAUCGACCUAGAGGGUGCGCCCGCUGAACUGAUGGGUCGGUCCACUCCUCGGGAGGCACCGUAGGAAUCUCCCAAUGGCGAAAGCCUGGCGAACAACCGCGUAGUGAUGAGGUCUUCGGUCGUACAAUCGUAUUAGGGAAGAGUCCAAUGCUAAGUAUCUGUGCGCAUCUGGCGGCUAAUCACAGAGACCCGGCUA
rnacentral:rRNA from 1 species